rnacentral:rRNA from 1 species
UGGGGAAUAUUGGACAAUGGGGGGAACCCUGAUCCAGCCAUGCCGCGUGUGUGAAGAAGGCCUUAUGGUUGUAAAGCACUUUAAGCGAGGAGGAGGGUACUGGUAUUAAUACUACCAGCUACUGGACGUUACUCGCAGAAUAAGCACCGGCUAACUCUGUGCCAGCAGCCGCGGUAAUACAGAGGGUGCGAGCGUUAAUCGGAUUUACUGGGCGUAAAGCGUGCGUAGGCGGCUAAUUGAGUCGGAUGUGAAAUCCCCGAGCUUAACUUGGGAAUUGCAUUCGAUACUGGUUAGCUAGAGUGUGGGAGAGGAUGGUAGAAUUCCAGGUGUAGCGGUGAAAUGCGUAGAGAUCUGGAGGGAUACCGAUGGCGAAGGCAGCCAUCUGGCCUAACACUGACGCUGAGGUACGAAAGCAUGGGGAGCAAACAGG